AUUGAACGCUGGCGGCAGGCCUAACACAUGCAAGUCGAGCGGAUGAAGGGAGCUUGCUCCUGGAUUCAGCGGCGGACGGGUGAGUAAUGCCUAGGAAUCUGCCUGGUAGUGGGGGAUAACGUCCGGAAACGGGCGCUAAUACCGCAUACGUCUUGAGGGAGAAAGUGGGGGAUCUUCGGACCUCACGCUAUCAGAUGAGCCUAGGUCGGAUUAGCUAGUUGGUGGGGUAAAGGCCUACCAAGGCGACGAUCCGUAACUGGUCUGAGAGGAUGAUCAUUCACACUGGAACUGAGACACGGUCCAGACUCCUACGGGAGGCAGCAGUGGGGAAUAUUGGACAAUGGGCGAAAGCCUGAUCCAGCCAUGCCGCGUGUGUGAAGAAGGUCUUCGGAUUGUAAAGCACUUUAAGUUGGGAGGAAGGGCAGUAAGUUAAUACCUUGCUGUUUUGACGUUACCAACAGAAUAAGCACCGGCUAACUUCGUG
rnacentral:rRNA from 1 species